rnacentral:rRNA from 1 species
UACGUAGGAGGCAAGCGUUGUCCGGAAUUACUGGGUGUAAAGCGCGUGUAGGCGGCAGGCCAAGUCUGUGGUGAAAUCGCUCGGCUCAACUGGGCGGGGUCCAUGGAAACUGGUCAGCUGGAGGACGGUAGAGGUGAGUGGAAUUCCCGGUGUAGUGGUGAAAUGCGCAGAUAUCAGGAGGAACACCAAUUGCGAAGGCAGCUCGCUGGGACGUUACUGACGCUGAGGCGCGAAAGCCAGGGGAGCAAACGGG